GGACAAUCUGCCGAGAAGUGGGGGAUAGCUCGUCGAAAGGCGAAUUAAUACCGCAUGUGGUUAGGGAGGACAUCCUUCCGACACCAAAGCCGGGGCAACCUGGCGCUUCUUGAUGAGUCCGCGGCCUAUCAGCUAGUUGGCGGGGUAAAAGCCCACCAAGGCUAUGACGGGUAGCUGGUCUGAGAGGACGACCAGCCACACUGGAACUGAGACACGGUCCAGACACCUACGGGUGGCAGCAGUCGAGAAUUUUUCUCAAUGGGGGAAACCCUGAAGGAGCGACGCCGCGUGAAGGAUGAAGGUCUUCGGAUUGUAAACUUCUGUCAUUUGAGAACAAUGUGCAUUUAUUAACUGUAGAUGCAUUGAUAGUAUCAGAAGAGGAAGAGACGGCUAACUCUGUGCCAGCAGCCGCGGUAAUACAGAGGUCUCGAGCGUUGUUCGGAUUCAUUGGGCGUAAAGGGUGCGUAGGUGGCUAGGUAAGUCGGAUGUGAAAUCCCGGGGCUCAACCCCGGAACUGCAUUCGAUACUGCCUGGCUAGAGUACUGGAGAGGAGAUUGGAAUUUACGGU
rnacentral:rRNA from 1 species